rnacentral:misc_RNA from 1 species
GAUGAAGAACGUAGUGAAAUGCGAUACUUGGUGUGAAUUGCAGAAUCUCGUGAACCAUCGAGUUUUUGAACGCAAGUUGCGCCCGAAGCCGUUAGGCCGAGGGCACGCCUGCCUGGGUGUCACACAUCGUUGCCCCAAUGCCAAUCGCCUCACUUUGUAGGUAUUUGCUUGGGGUGAAUGUUGGCCUCCCGUGAGCUUUGUCUCACGGUUGGUUGAAAAUCGAGUGCAUGGUGUUGGGUGUACCAUGAUGGAUGGUGGUUGAGUGAUGAUGCUCGAGACCAAUCAUGGGUAACUCCACCAGAAUUGGGCUCGGUGACCCACAUGCGUCCCUUGGAUGCUCCCUAAGGAGACCUCAGGUCAGGCGGGGCUACCCGCUGAGUUUAAGCAUAUCAAUAAGCGGAGGA